AGUGAACGCUGGCGGCAGGCCUAACACAUGCAAGUCGAACGGCAGCACGGCAGUAGCAAUACUGUGGGUGGCGAGUGGCGGACGGGUGAGGAAUACAUCGGGAUCUACCCUGUUGUGGGGGAUAACGUAGGGAAACUUACGCUAAUACCGCAUAAGAACUGAGGUUGAAAGCGGCGGACCGCAAGGCGUCGCGCGAUUGGAUGAACCGAUGUCCGAUUAGCUAGUUGGCGGGGUAAAGGCCCACCAAGGCGACGAUCGGUAGCUGGUCUGAGAGGACGACUAGCCACACUGGAACUGAGACACGGUCCAGACUCCUACGGGAGGCAGCAGUAGGGAAUAUUGGGCAAUGGACGGAAGUCUGACCCAGCCACGCCGCGUGCAGGAGGAAGGCGCUCUGCGUUGUAAACUGCUUUAGCAGGGGAAGAAAAGACUCAUGCGUGAGGAAUUGACGGUACCCUGAGAAUAAGCACCGGCUAACUACGUGCCAGCAGCCGCGGUAAU
rnacentral:rRNA from 1 species